UACAGGGGGUGCAAACGUUGCUCGGAAUCAUUGGGCGUAAAGCGCACGUAGGCGGUCUGUUAUGUCGGAUGUGAAAGCCCUUGGCUCAACUGAGGAAGUGCAUCCGAAACUGGCAGGCUGGAGUACGAAAGAGGAUCGCGGAAUUCCCGGUGUAGAGGUGAAAUUCGUAGAUAUCGGGAGGAACACCGGUGGCGAAGGCGGCGAUCUGGGUCGAUACUGACGCUGAGGUGCGAAAGCGUGGGGAGCGAACAGG
rnacentral:rRNA from 1 species